ACUACGCGAAAGCNUAGCUAAUACCGCAUACGCCCUACGGGGGAACGCAGGGGAUCGUAAGACCUDGCACUAUWAGAGCGGCCGAUAUCGGAUUAGCUAGUUGGUGGGGUAACGGCUCACCAAGGCGACGAUCCGUAGCUGGUMUGAGAGVACGACCAGCMACACUGGAACUAAGACACGGCCCAVACUCCUACGGRASGCAGCAGUGGGGAAUUUUGVACAAUGGGGGAAACCCUGAUCCAGCCAUCCCGCGUGUGCGAUGAAGGCCUUCGGGUUGUAAAGCACUUUUGGCAGGACAGAAACGUCGYGGGUUAAUACCCCGCGACACUGACGGUACCUGCAGAAUAAGCACCGGCUAACUACGUGCCAGCAGCCGCGGUAAUACGUAGGGHGCAAGCGUUAAUCGGAAUUACUGGGCGUAAMGCGUGCGCAGGCGGUUCGGAAAGAAAGAUGUGAAAUCCCAGAGCUUAACUUUGGAACUGCAUUUUUAACUACCGAGCUAGAGUGUGUCAGAGGGAGGUGGAAUUCCGCGUGUMGCAGUVAAAUGCGUAVAUAUGCGGAGGAACACCGAUGGCGAAGGCAGCCUCCUGGGAUAACACUVACGCUCAUGCACGAAAGCGUGGGGAGCAAACAGGAUUAGAUACCCUGGUAGUCCACGCCCUAAACGAUGUCAACUVGCUGUUGGGGCCUUCGGGCCUUGGUAGCGCAGCUAACGCGUGAAGUUGACCGCCUGGGGAGUACGGUCGCAAGA
rnacentral:rRNA from 1 species